rnacentral:rRNA from 1 species
UACACGCUGUGACUAGCAUAUCAAUAAGCGGAGGAAAAGAAACUAACAAGGAUUCCCCUAGUAACGGCGAGUGAAGCGGGAAGAGCUCAAAUUUGAAAUCUUAAAGGGUUUCCCUUUACGAAUUGUAGUUUAAAGAAGUGUUUUCUGUUGAGGUUUUGGUAAAAGUUCUUUGGAAUAGGACAUCAUAGAGGGUGAGAAUCCCGUAUUUGACCUUUACUUUCAACUUUGUGAUACACUUUCAAAGAGUCGGAUUGUUUGGGAAUGCAGUCCAAAAUGGGUGGUAAAUUUCAUCUAAAGCUAAAUAUUGGCGAGAGACCGAUAGCGAACAAGUACCGUGAGGGAAAGAUGAAAAGAACUUUGAAAAGAGAGUUAAACAGUACGUGAAAUUGUCAAAAGGGAAGCGUUUGACACCAGUGUUGUUUUUCUGAAAAUCAAUUAAAGAACUGUUUAUGCUAAGCUGUUUAGACUUUAUCAGCUAUCUGUUUAGUUUUGAGCUUUUCUUUAAUGCACUUUUCAGUUAACAAGUCAACAUCAAUUUCUUUUGCUGUAAAAAAGCUUGAGGAAGGUGGCUUGAGAUUCGUCUUAAGUGUUUAUAGCCUCUUGCCUAUGCAGUCGGAGAGAUUGAGGUUUGCAGCGUAGAUCCUUCGGGGCUAAAUGCAUUUGUGCUAAGUUAUAGCAUUUUAUAGACAACUUGUUGACUAUGAUUUGUCUUGUAGCUUACUCGCUUAUGUUAUUUUACCUACGCUUAGGAUGUUGACGCGCGUGUGUGCGUG